GCCGGCAAAACAUGGCGACAGCCUGCCGGGCCGGGCCGGGAGUACCGCUACCCUCGCAGUCGGGCGCCGUGGUCGCCCCGCCGCGCACGGUGAUGGGGUGCAAGCGGCGGGGCUCUGCAGGCAGGGCCGUUCCCGGCCGCGGGCAGUGUGAGCUUCCAGUCCGCCCAUCACCCUUCUGUCCUGGGAGGAGCGAACGGCGAGGCGGGGAGAGCGCUGGAAAACUUUCCUCGCGGGCUGUUGGCAUGGCUCGGGAGAAGGGCCGUGUUUGGGUCAGAGCUGUUCGUUCAGUAUCCUCCUUAGUCAAAACAGAUCUCGGGGCGAGUUUGCGUUUUACUGGGGCACCAUUAAAACCGUCCCAUUUACGCUUAGUCAGUUACUCUAGUAAAAAUGGUUAUUUGAAUAGGUUAUUAAAUGCUUUUCUGAGUCAACCUAAGUAAUCCAAAAGUUACAAUAAAAACCACUGGUUACAUAUCAAGUGUACUGAGAGAACUGCUCAGUAUGUAGAGGUUUCUCCUUUAACCCUUAUGUACACGUUUUGUGGGGUUUCAAAGCUGUGUAAGGUGCAUGUGCAGGUAAGACACUUCUCUAAAACUCCAGCCAUUGCAGGAAGCCAUAGAGCGUGGCUGUUUGUGCAUAUACACCUUCUGUCUUGCACCAGAAGGGUCAGGUAUUGCUUUGCAGACUCCUCUAAAGUCUUGCAUGUUCAGCAUUUGAAUUGAGCUGUCAGAGUUGGGUUGGGGAUGUUUUUAAAAUCAGAUGUUUGCAAUAGUUUUGCAUAGAAAUUUGCUGAGAGUCUAGACCAAUACAAACAAAAGAAAAUGCAAAUUCGAGAAACUAAAGCAUGGCAGAAAGCUGUUACUUGACUAGCCAGCUUUUGCAAUGCUUGCUUACUUUCUUCCUGUUAAUUUUUGCAUGUUCUUUACAGCUUGACUCUAGAUUUUGUAAAGGUGUGUGACUUUUACUGUAGUUAAGACUUGCUUUCUCAAUGUGUUCAUUUCUUCCAAAUGCCUUGUUCAUGAGAUGCCAGUUGAGUAAGACCCAAAGACCUGGCAAGAUUCACAGAAAGAAACAUGUUACAAUAACAGGCUGGAGGUGGCUAGGGAUAGUGGAAUGAUUCCUUGCUCUACAUGGUUUGAGAGAGGACUCAUCAGAGGUCCUGAACCUUCUCUUAAUUGCACUUUCAGCAAGGAAGCUGAGAUGAAAGAAACCAGCCAUGAGAGGUCACAGGAAUUUAUACUGCCCAUCUCCACAAUUACUAACAAGUAAGCACUAUAUGAUAUUAUAGGAUGGAAGUGAACUUGGUCUUUGUUAAUGACAGUUGUCACACAGGUGAGGAAUACUUAAGUGAUUUCCACAAGAGGAAACUUUUGAAACUUAUUACCAGAAGCGUAAUUCAACCAACGCCACAACUUUGCCUGCAGUGUGAAGAUGAAUGGUUAGAGUGCCUUUCCUCUGAACACAGCGAGGAACCUCAAGGAAGGGUGAGGAUGAUGAAAGCAUCAUUGUUACUGAUGCUUUUGAGGAUAAGGAGGACCUAGAGAUCUGGAGAUACUUUGGUCAUUCCUCCAUGAUCGUUAUGAGGAAGACUGUUGUUUGCUGGCACCAUUGCUUGGCAGCUGCAAGAGGAAAUGUUGCUAUUGUAUCAGGUUGAAGUCAAGAGAGUUGUGUAGCCAUUGGAUACAAUUAGGACUGGCUGAACUCUUCUGGACAUGGAUGCUUGUAAGAUGGACAUGUUAAGUUAGAGCUUUGGUGUGCAAGUGGACUGUAAGUUACAGUGUUGCUGUCUAGAUCAUCACCACCCUGUGGGGCUGGUUUUCAGAAGUGUCACUGUAAGGCUGCACAGCCUGCUUGGCCAGAACGAUGCAUCCAUUGCUUCUCUCCAUACGACCUCUCAUGUUUAAUGUACUAGUUCUGAUAAACCAUGGUUUGUUUGGUUUCUUUUUAAAUAGCCAUUCAUCAUCUGCACCCACACAGGCAUGCUUGCCUGUGGAGAUAUUGGUGCUGUAUGUGUUUAUAUAUCACUGGAGCCUUCUUACGAGAAUUGAUGAACGAGGGGAGGGUUGUGUGCUUGUCUUCCGUAAGAGAGGUGGGAGGGGUAUGUGAUUCCAUGCAUCUUGGAUCCAGGUGGAAGAAAGCCUUUGCCCUGCCCAGCUACUGCAUUGCAGUAAGAAACGUUUAAGAAUUUUAAAAUCAGAAAAAUUAUAAUAAAAGUAAUGAAAAU